GAAGGAGCUGGAAGAAUGCAUCAAGGUUGGGAGAAGUAAAAUGUUACAGCAGAGAACGGGAGGACGCUUAUUACAUAUGCUGUAUCAUCUUAUUCAAAAUUUAGUGUGUUUGAAGCUCUAAGGCAAAGUAAGGGCAUAAAUGGAGUGUGACAACUACAAAUGAAGUUGGAAGAUUUAUGGAGUGUACUCUCAAACUUUCAGAAGGAUCUUGAUGAUGUACCCGAUACUGCAAAUGCUUGGCUACAUGUAUGCUCAGUUUGGUCAGACCGAAAAGGGUGAGGAACUUAUUAGAAAAGCAACAAAUGUUGAUCCUCGUGAUGCAUGGGCUUAUUUUAUAUUGAGAGAGAAUCUUUAACUUUGACCACCGACAUGGGAGCUGCACUAGACGCAUUUAAAACCGCUAACUCAAUUUAAAGACGGUAGAUCAAAAUAUACCAAUUCAAUUAUUCAAAAAAUUAUUUGUGUUCUGUUUGAAAGGGGGUUCCAUCAGCAACUAUUUUGUAUGCUCGUCUCCUGACUUACAAAAAUAAGUGUCUAGCAGCACAGGAUAUCCUUCACGCUUUUAUCAUUGGCCUGUGGCCUAUAGGUAGGACACUGGAUUGUGUGUCAGUGUUUUUAAUCUAGGAUCGGUCGGUGUUUUUGACUUAAAAGUCAAGCUUAUCCCUCGACCUUCUUUACAUUGCUUCCUUAAAACAGUUGAACGUAGGGCAUGUGACACUGAGUACGUUCAACAGUUCUAAGAAGGCAGAGGAAUAAACUUGACUUUUAAAUUAAAAACACCGAUCGGUCCUAGAUUAAUAUGAAAUCAAGAGAUAGAAGUUGCCUUAUUAAAGCUCAACAUACUCUUGGACAGUGUUUUGGGAGUAUCACCCAUCAUAUAGAGUGACACCCCUCACCUUACAAGCCGGUUUUGUAGGGAUGAGUUAGGAUAAAGUCUAAUUCAAUAAUGGUAUCACUGCCUACCGAUUCGGGCCAUCCACUGUUUAUAUGCGCACCAAGCCCAAUAGUGAUGGGCGCAAGGAAGUGUAUUGAAAACAAGUCCCACAUACCCAUAAUAUGGGCCACCCACCGUUUAUAUACACACACCGAGUCCAAUAGUGUGGGACAUGAGGGGUGUAUUGGGAAAAGCCAAGUCCUAAAUUGGUUAAAAAUAAAACCCACUAAUGGUUUAUAUUGUAGGAAUGAGUUAGACUAAAUUAUAAUUCUAUCACACCAGUCCAGCACUAUUUGUGAAUCUUACUUUCCUCCUUUCCAUGUUCAGGUUUCGAGCAGUUUGAGGAAGGUUUUUCUAGCAGCAGAUAUCUAUGCUGCCAUAUUUUCCUUCUACCAUGACAAUAAUGGAGAUUUGAG
rnacentral:lncRNA from 1 species